GAUGAACGCUGGCGGCGCGCCUAACACAUGCAAGUCGAACGGCACCCCUCUCCGGAGGGAAGCGAGUGGCGAACGGCUGAGUAACACGUGGAGAACCUGCCCCCUCCCCCGGGAUAGCCGCCCGAAAGGACGGGUAAUACCGGAUACCCCCGGGCGCCGCAUGGCGCCCGGGCUAAAGCCCCGACGGGAGGGGAUGGCUCCGCGGCCCAUCAGGGUAGACGGCGGGGUGACGGCCCACCGUGCCGACAACGGGUAGCCGGGUUGAGAGACCGACCGGCCAGAUUGGGACUGAGACACGGCCCAGACUCCUACGGGAGGCAGCAGUGGGGAAUCUUGCGCAAUGGGGGGAACCCUGACGCAGCGACGCCGCGUGCGGGACGGAGGCCUUCGGGUCGUAAACCGCUUUCAGCAGGGAAGAGUCAAGACUGUACCUGCAGAAGAAGCCCCGGCUAACUACGUGCCAGCAGCCGCGGUAAUACGUAGGGGGCGAGCGUUAUCCGGAUUCAUUGGGCGUAAAGCGCGCGUAGGCGGCCCGGCAGGCCGGGGGUCGAAGCGGGGGGCUCAACCCCCCGAAGCCCCCGGAACCUCCGCGGCUAGGGUCCGGUAGGGGAGGGUGGAGCACCCGGUGUAGCGGUGGAAUGCGCAGAUAUCGGGUGGAACACCGGUGGCGAAGGCGGCCCUCUGGGCCGAGACCGACGCUGAGGCGCGAAAGCUGGGGGAGCGAACAGGAUUAGAUACCCUGGUAGUCCCAGCCGUAAA
rnacentral:rRNA from 1 species